UUAUAAUUAAAAGACCUCUCUAAAUCGAGUUGACUCUUUUAGGGCAUAUGUCUGAAAAUGAUGUUUUACUGCAUUUCUCACUAGCUUGUCUCUUUUGUCUAUUGCUUCUUUUGGUUUUAGGUCUUGUCGUUCAUAUGCUUUGUUAUUUUUUAUAGAGUAUGCGAGUAUGCUUGGUAUUGAAAACACAAAUUCUAAAGACAAAUUGAAGCUCUGCUUGAUGUUAUAAUCCUCCAGAGAGUUUAUAGUUGCUUCUUACAGGCAAGUAGUCUUAUGCGAUUGCAUCCAAGUUCUCCAUUAUCCAAUCAAGGAUAAGGUGAGUCAAAGGUGAGUUUUAGUUCUGAUGAAUAAAAUUUAGUUCUAUUCUUAGAGAAAGAUAGGAAUACACGGUUUCGAUUAAAUCCUGUAGUCUUUAACAACGGCCUUUUUCUAUUUGGUAGGUUUGGAAUUCUACUUCCCACUCUGCUCUAUGAGUCAGUGGAACACUAGUUUCUCAGCAUCUCAGAUGUCUCUAAAGUAACCUGCAAAAGUUGUGAAUACUGCUACUAAUAGAAAGAUAAUGUGUCAACAGAGAUGAAUCUAUAACUUGCACUGAUAAAAUGCCACAGGAUGGGUCAUUUGGAUCUGAAAGUGACUUGUGCCAAUGACAAGUGCUGCCUCUUAGCAAUGACUUUAAAAUUCAUGUGUGGUUCCUCCAAUGUUUUUUUUUUUCUUUCAGCCAUACUUUUCCUAAAAUGUCUGCUCUUUCAACGAAGACCUCAUGUAUCAGUCAGUGGUACCCUGCAGCCAAGCUAACAGUCAAGGGUAAUAAUGGAAACAAGAGGAUGGUUGGAGCUGAGAUUGAUGGAGCUGAGAAACUUACUUUGAACAAUCCUGAAGAGAUGGAGGCAGGUGAUUCUCAGCAUGGUAGAGAAAGAAAUAGCAGCCCAGAGCAGAAGCAGGAAGGCACUCAGGCUGAAUCCUGUCUGCUGUUCCCUCAUAAUAUGAUUCAACAGUAUAGAAAGAAGUACCAGAAAAUUAAGGAGGAAACCUACUGCCAUUCUUCAACUCCUGACACAUAGGUGGAAAGGGAAAAUAGUGGCUUCAGCCACCAGUGUGUUUGAAAAAUACACUUGGCCAUGACUGAGAACUGAUGUUAUUGUGAUAAAGAGUAAAUAAAGGAGAGAUAAAAUGGGAUAUGGUAGAAAGG
rnacentral:lncRNA from 1 species